GACGAGCGCUGGCGGCGUGCUUAACACAUGCAAGUCGAACGGUGAAGCGCCUUCCUUUUUGGUGGGUGUGGAUGAGUGGCGAACGGGUGAGUAACACGUGAGUAACCUGCCCCCUUCUUCUGGAUAACCGCAUGAAAGUGUGGCUAAUACGGGAUAUUCUGGGUCUGUCGCAUGAUGGGUCUGGGAAAGAUAUUGUUUCGGUGGGGGAUGGGCUCGCGGCCUAUCAGCUUGUUGGUGGGGUGAUGGCCUACCAAGGCGGUGACGGGUAGCCGGCCUGAGAGGGUGGACGGUCACACUGGGACUGAGACACGGCCCAGACUCCUACGGGAGGCAGCAGUGGGGAAUAUUGCACAAUGGGCGCAAGCCUGAUGCAGCGACGCCGCGUGAGGGAUGGAGGCCUUCGGGUUGUGAACCUCUUUCGCCAGUGAAGCAGGCCUGCCUCGUUUGUGGGUGGGUUGAUGGUAGCUGGAUAAGAAGCGCCGGCUAACUACGUG
rnacentral:rRNA from 1 species